GACAGAGGAUGCAAGCGUUAUCCGGAAUGAUUGGGCGUAAAGCGUCUGUAGGUGGCUUUUAAGUCCGCCGUCAAAUCCCAGGGCUCAACCCUGGACAGGCGGUGGAAACUACCAAGCUGGAGUACGGUAGGGGCAGAGGGAAUUUCCGAUGGAGCGGUGAAAUGCGUAGAGAUCGGAAAGAACACCAACGGCGAAAGCAGCCCCCUGGGUCAAGAUUGACGCUCAUGCACGAAAGCGUGGGGAGCAAACGAGG
rnacentral:rRNA from 1 species